GAUGAACGCUGGCGGCGUGCCUAACACAUGCAAGUCGAGCGAACCACUUCGGUGGUGAGCGGCGAACGGGUGAGUAACACGUAGGUGAUCUGCCCAUCAGACGGGGACAACGAUUGGAAACGAUCGCUAAUACCGGAUAGGACGAAAGUUUAAAGGUGCUUCUGGCACCGCUGAUGGAUGAGCCUGCGGCGCAUUAGCUAGUUGGUAGGGUAAAGGCCUACCAAGGCGACGAUGCGUAGCCGACCUGAGAGGGUGAACGGCCACACUGGGACUGAGACACGGCCCAGACGCCUACGGGAGGCAGCAGUAGGGAAUCUUCGGCAAUGGGCGAAAGCCUGACCGAGCAACCCCGCGUGAAUGAUGAAGGCCUUCGGGUUGUAAAAUUCUGUUAUAAGGGAAGAACGACUUUAGUAGGAAAUGGCUAGAGUGUGACGGUACCUUAUGAGAAAGCCACGGCUAACUACGUGCCAGCAGCCGCCGCAGUAA
rnacentral:rRNA from 1 species